AGCUCAGUUGGUAGAGCACCUGAUUUGUAAUCAGGGGGACGGAAGUUCGAGUCCGUCCGGGGGCACCA
rnacentral:tRNA from 1 species